GAUGACCGUACCGCAAACCGACACAGGUGGGCGAGAUGAGUAUUCUAAGGCGCUUGAGAGAACUCGGGAGAAGGAACUCGGCAAAUUGGUACCGUAACUUCGGGAUAAGGUACGCCCUUGUAGCUUGACUGGCUUGCGCCAGAAGGGUGAAGGGGUUGCAAUAAACUGGUGGCUGCGACUGUUUAAUAAAAACACAGCACUCUGCAAACACGAAAGUGGACGUAUAGGGUGUGACGCCUGCCCGGUGCCGGAAGAUUAAAUGAUGGGGUGCAAGCUCUUGAUUGAAGUCCCGGUAAACGGCGGCCGUAACUAUAACGGUCCUAAGGUAGCGAAAUUCCUUGUCGGGUAAGUUCCGACCUGCACGAAUGGCGUAACGAUGGCCACACUGUCUCCUCCCGAGACUCAGCGAAGUUGAAGUGUUUGUGAUGAUGCAAUCUACCCGCGGCUAGACGGAAAGACCCCAUGAACCUUUACUGUAGCUUUGCAUUGGACUUUGAACCGAUCUGUGUAGGAUAGGUGGGAGGCUAUGAAACCGGAACGCUAGUUUCGGUGGAGCCGUCCUUGAAAUACCACCCUGGUUUGUUUGAGGUUCUAACCUUGGCCCGUGAUCCGGGUCGGGGACAGUGCAUGGUAGGCAGUUUGACUGGGGCGGUCUCCUCCCAAAGCGUAACGGAGGAGUACGAAGGUACGCUAGGUACGGUCGGAAAUCGUGCUGAUAGUGCAAUGGCAUAAGCGUGCUUAACUGCGAGACCGACAAGUCGAGCAGGUGCGAAAGCAGGUCAUAGUGAUCCGGUGGUUCUGUAUGGAAGGGCCAUCGCUCAACGGAUAAAAGGUACUCUGGGGAUAACAGGCUGAUACCGCCCAAGAGUUCAUAUCGACGGCGGUGUUUGGCACCUCGAUGUCGGCUCAUCUCAUCCUGGGGCUGUAGCCGGUCCCAAGGGUAUGGCUGUUCGCCAUUUAAAGAGGUACGUGAGCUGGGUUUAAAACGUCGUGAGACAGUUUGGUCCCUAUCUGCCGUGGGCGUUGGAUAUUUGAAGGGGGCUGCUCCUAGUACGAGAGGACCGGAGUGGACGAACCUCUGGUGUACCGGUUGUCACGCCAGUGGCAUCGCCGGGUAGCUAUGUUCGGAAGAGAUAACCGCUGAAAGCAUCUAAGCGGGAAACUCGCCUUAAGAUGAGAUAUCCCUGGGGACUAGAUCCCCUUGAAGGGUCGUUCGAGACCAGGACGUUGAUAGGUCAGGUGUGUAAGCGCAGUAAUGCGUUCAGCUAACUGAUACUAAUUGCCCGUAAGGCUUGAUCCUAUAACA
rnacentral:rRNA from 1 species